UACAGAGGGUGCGAGCGUUGUUCGGAAUUACUGGGCGUAAAGCGCGCGCAGGCGGCCCUUUAAGUCUACCCGUGAAAUGCCGGAGCUCAACUCCGUGCACGCCGGGGGAUACUGGAGGGCUGGAGACGAGUAGAGGCAAGCGGAAUUCCGGGUGUAGCGGUGGAAUGCGUAGAGAUCCGGAAGAACACCGGAGGCGAAGGCGGCUUGCUGGGCUUGGUCUGACGCUGAGGCGCGAAAGCGUGGGGAGCAAACAGG
rnacentral:rRNA from 1 species